UAUGUGAUCGUCUCUCGCAUAUCAAUAAGCGGAGGAAAAGAAACUAACAAGGAUUCCCCUAGUAACGGCGAGUGAAGCGGGAAGAGCUCAAAUUUGAAAUCUUAAAGGGUUUCCCUUUACGAAUUGUAGUUUAAAGAAGUGUUUUCUGUUGAGGUUUUGGUAAAAGUUCUUUGGAAUAGGACAUCAUAGAGGGUGAGAAUCCCGUAUUUGACCUUUACUUUCAACUUUGUGAUACACUUUCAAAGAGUCGGAUUGUUUGGGAAUGCAGUCCAAAAUGGGUGGUAAAUUUCAUCUAAAGCUAAAUAUUGGCGAGAGACCGAUAGCGAACAAGUACCGUGAGGGAAAGAUGAAAAGAACUUUGAAAAGAGAGUUAAACAGUACGUGGAAUUGUCAAAAGGGAAGCGUUUGACACCAGUGUUGUUUUUCUGAAAAUCAAUUAAAGAACUGUUUAUGCUAAGUUGUUUAGACUUUAUCAGCUAACUGUUUAGUUUUGAGCUUUUCUUUAAUGCACUUUUCAGUUAACAAGUCAACAUCAAUUUCUUUUGCUGUAAAAAAGCUUGAGGAAGGUGGCUUGAGAUUCGUCUUAAGUGUUUAUAGCCUCUUGCCUAUGCAGUCGGAGAGAUUGAGGUCUGCAGCGUAGAUCCUUCGGGGCUAAAUGCAUUUGUGCUAAGUUAUAGCAUUUUAUAGACAACUUGUUGACUAUGAUUUGCCUUGUAGCUUACUCGCUUAUGUUAUUUUACCUACGCUUAGGAUGUUGAAUCUGUGCGAGACUAC
rnacentral:rRNA from 1 species